GUGGCCGGGAGAGGCAGCCGUGCCCGGGCUGGCGCUGUCGAAGUUGACCUGGAAAGGCACGUCAGAGAGGGUGAGAGCCCCGUGCGCGACACCGCCGGGCCGGGUUGCUACUGUCUUCGGAGAGUCGGGUUGUUUGGGAUUGCAGCCCAAAGUGGGUGGUAAACUCCAUCUAAAGCUAAAUACUGGCACGAGACCGAUAGCGAACAAGUACCGUGAGGGAAAGGUGAAAAGUACUUUGAAAAGAGAGUCAAAAAGACCGCGAAACCGUUAGGAGGGAAACGAAUGCGGCUGAAGUGGUUCCCCGUCAGGCUCAGGAGGCGUCGUCGGGUCUCGCGGGUGGCGGUUGAUUCCGCGUCCGCGAGGCGCCCGUCGACCUCUCUGCACUUCUGCGGGGGGCCGGCCAACGUCAGUUGCUCCCGGCCCAGAAGGGCGUCGCGGGAAGGUGGCUCCGUGCGCACGCGCGGAGAACUUAUAGCCCGGCGUCAGCUAGGCGCUCCGGGGGCGACUGAGGAGAGUUGCGAGUUUCGCACGUUGCGGCGCAGGCCCCUCGGGGCUGGGCCGCUCUCCGUCGGGGGGAGUCCGAGGCUUUCACUGCCCGCAGUGGGGACUUACGGCGCUCUCUCCCGCGGGGAGGUCGGUCGCACCUUGCGUCGCGGUCGUUGGUGCCCGGAUGGCCGCAUCCGACCCGUCUUGAAACACGGACCAAGGAGUGCAACAUGCGUGCGAGUCCGCGGGUGGCAAAC
rnacentral:rRNA from 1 species